AGUGAACGCUGGCGGUAGGCCUAACACAUGCAAGUCGAACGGCAGCACAGUAAGAGCUUGCUCUUACAGGUGGAGAGUGACAGACGGGUGAGGAAUACAUCGGACACUACUUUUUCGUGGGGGAUAACGUAGGGAAACUUACGCUAAUACCGCAUACGACCUACGGGUGAAAGCAGGGGAUCUUCGGACCUUGCGCGAUUGAAUGAGCCGAUGUCGGAUUAGCUAGUUGGCGGGGUAAAGGCCCACCAAGGCGACGAUCCGUAGCUGGUCUGAGAGGAUGAUCAGCCACACUGGAACUGAGACACGGUCCAGACUCCUACGGGAGGCAGCAGUGGGGAAUAUUGGACAAUGGGCGCAAGCCUGAUCCAGCCAUACCGCGUGGGUGAAGAAGGCCUUCGGGUUGUAAAGCCCUUUUGUUGGGAAAUAAAAGCAGCAGGUUAAUACCCCGCUGUUCCGACGGUACCCAAAGAAUAAGCACCGGCUAACUUCGUG
rnacentral:rRNA from 1 species